CACGUAGGCACCAAGCGUUGUCCGGAUUAUUGGGCGUAAAGAGCUCGUAGGCGGUUCGGUAAGUCGGGUGUGAAAACUCUGGGCUCAACCCAGAGCCGCCACCUGAUACUGCUGUGACUCGAGUGCGGUAGGGGAGCGGGGAAUUCCUGGUGUAGCGGUGAAAUGCGCAGAUAUCAGGAGGAACACCGGUGGCGAAGGCGGGAUCCUGGGCCAGUACUGACGCUGAGGAGCGAAAGCGUGGGGAGCAAACAGG
rnacentral:rRNA from 1 species